rnacentral:lncRNA from 1 species
GGUAUCCAGAGGACGCGGUCACCGCCUCUGGCAUUUGUCGUUCUGCGCUUCUCCGCAAGGACCCUCUGUUAGGCAGGCGCCCACCGUAAGCCUCCCGGGCCUUGUGAACCUGCAAACCCAAGUCUGAGAGACGAUCCGCCUUCAGCGCUUUCCAGCUUGGCAGAGAGGCUUUCCCGGCGGGGAUCUUUGGUUGGCGCUGGCGAUGCGCGGGGAAGAAAGGCGAGGAGCGGCGUCCAGGCUGGGUGAUGUCCCAGCACGAGUAGGCGGGAUGCGCUCGCUUGGUCCUCCGGGCGCCCGGUCCCUGCCCGCGUCGCGCGCCCACCCCUGGGGACGAGAAGGCGGCCGCCUGAGGACCCCCGCCCGCGACCUCCGCGAGUCUGGAGCGCAGAGGACAGGGUCUGGCUGCUCUUUGGCCUUGGAUGGAAAGUGGGGAAUUGGGUGGGGGGCUGCGGACCCCUUAACGUGGAUUACUUGGUGUGUAUCAGCUGGGCUCAGAAGACCCACGACCUCUUCUCCAUCCGUGGAUUGAUUUGUUCUGCUUAACAGCUGGGUCGCCAAGCUGGAGGUAUUUUUCCCUCUCCACCCUGGUCUUCUCCUGUAACGUGUGGCCGCCUUUUCCAGCACGGCCUCCUGCCUUCCUGGUGCACUUUUUGGAGAACGUGG